GCAAACUUGGUCAUUUAGAGGAAGUAAAAGUCGUAACAAGGUUUCCGUAGGUGAACCUGCGGAAGGAUCAUUACUGUGUUGCAUUGCUAGGUUUGUUGCUGACUCCUCUGAAUGGGGGAAGUAUGUGCACGCCUGCAACUACAUAUUUCAAUCCACAUGUGCACCCUUGUAGGCCUUGUAAAUUCAUUCAUUCUGAGUUCACAACUCAGUUAGCUUGGACAAAACCGUGAAUUUCUUGGCCUAUGCUGUGAUUUAAACCAUUAGUUUGCGAAAAUUUCAGAAGCCUUUGUGCAGGCUUUUAAAAAGAUUUGUAGACAACUUUCAACAAUGGAUCUCUUGGCUCUCGCAUCGAUGAAGAACGCAGC
rnacentral:misc_RNA from 1 species